rnacentral:lncRNA from 1 species
GCCUCUAUUCAUGGUCCAGAUGCGCGAGUAUAUAAGCAGUCUGAAGAAGGGCUAUCCGUGCUUGAAGUACGGUGAAGGACAAAGGCGAGUAUAGCUACUAGUUCUAUCUCAACGGAUGAUGAGAUAAUAAAACAUCUCACAUAACUAGAGGAGAAGAUAGCUUAACUCACAGAGAUUGUGUCUCGAUUGGCGAUGCCUUCAACAUGAGUACCAACAACUCCUAUCUUCGGAUAAAACCACAUGGUUCAGUAAGGAGGCGAGGAAGCAAAAAAUUUUUCAUCUUCAGUUCCAAUUUAACAGGAGCUAAAUUCUCUAAAUAAGAAAAGAUCUGAUUCAAGAGAAUCACUGGACUCGAUGUUAAUCACUUUGGCCACUAUGAGUAUUCAGGAGGAUCACCAAACUUGAUGUGGAUCACUUUGGCUACUGCGAGUAUCCAAAGGGAUUACCAAACUCGAUAUGAAAUACUCUGACUACUACGAGUAUUUAGGAAGAUCAUUAUACUCGAUAUGGAAUACUUUAGCCACUACAAGCAGGGCUCACAGGGCUCAGG